CGAAUGGGGAGANUCAUCGUCAGCUCAUUUUAUAUAUAUGCAAGCUAUGAUAUGGGUUACUUUUAUCACUUUGUUGGUAUAUAGUAUUGCCUGUACAUUCUUGUAUAUUUAAAUUGUAAGAUGUUGUCGGCGUGCACUUCUCCCCUAGUANAACGUCGCGACCCGUUUAUANNNANUUGGUCUACGGCCCAAGUGGGAGCUUUUAAUAAAUAAUUUAUAUUAUUUAUUUGAAACCCUUGGUGUUACCUGACUAACAUUAAACGGUAAUUCAUAUGGUAUUGAGCCGCAAAUAAAAUGCGUUCAUAUCUGUCGCAAGCGAGGUUAAUUAAUAUAUUUUACUAAUAGUACGGACUUAGUACCGUCGUUAGUAUUAAUCAGCUGUUGGUUGUACAGAUUUCUAGAACUGGCUAAAAAUAAUACCUGUCAGCGAUGCUACUGCUUUGGGUACUUUCAGGACCCGUCUUGAAACACGGACCAAGGAGUCUAACAUGUACGCAAGUCAUUGGGAUAUUUUUAAUAAAUUAAACCUAAAGGCGUAAUGAAAGUAAAGGUCGUCCUUGUGUCGACUANNGGAGGAUGAGCUGUAUAUAUAAAUAUAAA
rnacentral:rRNA from 1 species